rnacentral:rRNA from 1 species
UACGUAGGGUGCGAGCGUUAAUCGGAAUUACUGGGCGUAAAGCGUGCGCAGGCGGUUCGUUGUGUCGGUGGUGAAAGCCCCGGGCUUAACCUGGGAAUGGCCAUGGAAACUGGCGAACUGGAGUGUGGCAGAGGGGGGUGGAAUUCCGCGUGUAGCAGUGAAAUGCGUAGAGAUGCGGAGGAACACCGAUGGCGAAGGCAGCCCCCUGGGCUAGCACUGACGCUCAGGCACGAAAGCCAGGGGAGCGAACGGG